AACUCAAAUUCGUGCAUGGCCCAUUCAUGGCCUCGCUGGCUACACUACAGUGCAGAAGGACUUGCUAAUAGCUGGUGCUGCUCAUCUGAAACCUGAGUGAUUCUUUUAAGGGCAAGUUACAUUU